AACACCAUUGACCGGAAUUGAUUCCUUCCGGUCUAUGGGGCUGUUACACCUCAUCAACCGGAAGGGAUUCCUUCGGGUCGAUGAGGUGUAACAACCUCAUCAACCGGAAGGAAUCCCUUCCAGUUGGUGGUGUU
rnacentral:miRNA from 1 species